AAUAAUACCUCUCAGAGCAGGGCAGAUAAAACGCCUGCGAGUGAACGCACACUCAGAAUUGGCGACUGAGAAAUUGGUGUGCAGUAAGGGAAGCUUGAUAAGAUUCUAUGACAGACUUUAUUACACACCGAUGGAAGCAGGUAGAAGAAAGAGCAUAUUUUGGAGAUAAGACUAUUUCUGGUUGUAAAAUUACAAGACGUGCCACAGGGAGAGUAGAGAAGAGAAGAGAACAAAGAGCAACUCCAGGAUGGGGACCUAUAAAUUACUUGAGAUCUACACCCGGAAUCA